rfam:Oryza meridionalis cultivar OR44 (W2112) chromosome 1, whole genome shotgun sequence.
AAAAAGUGUAGUUUUAACUGUUCAUACUUAACAUUUGACCGUUCGUCUUAUUUGAAAAAUAAUUAUGAUUAGUAUUUUUAUUGUUAUUAGAUUUUUUCAUAAAAUUUUCAAAUAAGACGGACGGUCAAAACGCUGGACACGGAUAUCUAUGGCUGCACUUAUU